rnacentral:rRNA from 1 species
AUUGAACGCUGGCGGCAGGCCUAAUACAUGCAAGUAGAGCGAGCGGCGGACGGGUGAGUAAUGUAUGGGGACUGCCCGCUAGAGGGGGAUAACUUCUUGAAACGGUAGCUAAUAACGCAUACUAUUGCAUAACCCAUAUGGGAUUAGCUUGUAGGUGAGGUAAUGGCUUACCUAGGCGACGAUCCCUAGCUGGUUUGAGAGGAUGAUCAGCAACACGGGAACGGAGAAAGGGCCCAGAGUCGUACGGAGGAAGAAGAGGGGAAUAUUGGACAAGGGGGGAAAGCCUGAUGAAGAAAUGCCGCGGGUAGGAAGAAGGCCCUAGGGUUGAAAAGUACGUUCAGUCGGGAGGCGUUACCGAAAGAGAAAGCACCGGCUAACUCCGUGCCAGCAGCCGCGGUAAUAC